rnacentral:misc_RNA from 1 species
UUUCGUAGGUGAACCUGCGGAAGGAUCAUUAAAAAAUAUCGCUCGAUUGAGAGUGAUUUAAUAAUCAUCCUACCUUUGUGAAUUUGUUGUUUGUAAUAAUUUUUUUUGAUUUUAAAAAAAAAAUUAUUUAUGGUUUUGUCUAUCCCUAAAUUGGUUUGUUUGUGAAAUGAAUCAAUUUAGGGAAUAGGCUUUCAUAAAUAAGUUUUUUUUAAAGUCUUAAAGACCUUUUUUAAAAUUAAACUUUGUAUUCAUUUGUCUAAAUAUUUUUAAAUAAUUUAAAAACAACUUUUGACAAUGGAUCUCUUGGUUCUCGCAACGAUGAAGAACGCAGCAAAAUGCGAUAAGUAAUGUGAAUUGCAGAAUACGUGAAUCAUCAAAUCUUCGAACGCAUAUUGCACUUUUUUAGUUUACUAAAAAGUAUGUCUGUUUGAGUAUCAGUAAAAUAUUCUCAUAAAAACAUUUUUGUUUUUAUGGUUAUGAGUGUUUUACAACGAUAAACAAGUUGUUUCACUUUAAAUUCAUUUUAAUUAAGACCAUUUAUGGUUUUAAUAAUAAAAUUGGAUAAAAUUUUCCGUAAAAAGGAAUAAACUUUUCAGUUUUAGUUAGAAAAUCUCGGUCCGAUUUUAAAAGGAAAUUUAUUUAAAUAACUGAUCUCAAAUCAGAUAAGAGUACCCGCUGAACUUAAGCAUAUCAAUAAGCGGAGGAAAAGAAACUAACAAGGAUUCCCUUAGUAACGGCGAGUGAAGCGGAAGAGCUCAAAUUUGAAAUCUUCAGGUUCUACCUUGACGAAUUGUAGUUUAAAGAAGUGUUUUCUGUUAGAUGAGUAGCAAAAGUUCCUUGGAAUGGGACAUCAUAGAGGGUGAGAAUCCCGUAUUUGGUUAUUCAUUCUAGCUUUGUGAUACACUUUCAAAGAGUCGGAUUGUUUGGGAAUGCAGUCCAAAAUGGGUGGUAAAUUUCAUCUAAAGCUAAAUAUUGGCGAGAGACCGAUAGCGAACAAGUACCGUGAGGGAAAGAUGAAAAGAACUUUGAAAGAGAGUUAAACAGUACGUGAAAUUGUCAAAGGGAAGCGUUUGACACCAGUGUUGUUUUUCCGAAAAUCAAUUACGAAUGGCUUGAUUUUGUGUUGUAUUGACCUUAUCAGCUUUCUUCACUUUUUUCAGUCUUUCUUAAUGCACUUUUCGGUUAACAAGUCAACAUCAAUUUCUUUUGUUGUAAAAGAGUAUUCGGAAGGUGGCUUUCUUUUCGGAGAAAGUGUUUAUAGCCCUAUACUUCUACAAUCGGAGAGAUUGAGGUCUGCAGCGUAGAUCCUUCGGGUUAGAUACAUUUGUGCUAAGUUGUAGCUUUUCAUAGACAACUUGUUGACUAUGUUUAGUCAUGCGGCUUACUCGCUUAUGCUAUUU